rnacentral:misc_RNA from 1 species
GAUGCACAAUAAGAGCGUAUAUAUUAUUAUUAUUAUUUUUUGAAAAAAGAGCAGAUAUAUUAUUUCCUUAAUAUAUCGUUCUUCUAGUACACUGACAGCUGAAAAUUCUACAACAAACAAGAAAACAAAAAGCAUCAUUGCAAGGCAUUUGCGGCUGAUCUCAUAUUCCGGCACUGGUAGCGGCUGCUGGAGAGAAGAAUGAAGAUGCAAAACACUUCACAGCUCAUCAUGAUAAUCGUCCAUGUCAUCACGGUGAUGCCUUCUGUAUUUGUCUCUAUAUCUAUCUCGGUAGCGACGAUCAUAUCCUCUUUCUCUUCUCCUCCUUUCACCUUCUUCUCUAGCCCUUUGAGCUUCCUCUUCCUCUCUAGCUUUUCGGAUUUUUUCUGCUUCCUCAAAUGCUUCUUUUUCAAUCUGAAAUUUCAAAAUAUAAAUUUGAAUUAGCAACCACAUCAUAUGACAAAACACUUCUGUAAAGUAACUAAAAUAUGAUUUUAUGAAGCUAGCAUCCACCAGCAUAAGAAAUUAGAAUUCAGACAGGAGGACACACCUCCCUAUUGGCAAAUACUUCCUGGACCAUUUCUUUUGCAUAUUCUGGAUCAUCGCAUAUCAAAACAUUGUCAAAAACUGACCCAGACUUCACCUGCAUUGGAACACAUGAUCAGACAUGGCUCUUAUUAGAAAUAAAAUCACUGGUUUGAACAUAUAGAUCAGGGCACGUUCAAAUCAGCAUAUUUGAUAAUUUCUACCUGCCAAACUUCAAUUCCCACGUAUUUUAUUGGCUUAAGCACAUAAAGAUCAGGAUCAUCUUCAAACUCUGCAGAUGAUAAGGGAAAUAUGAAAAAAGAAGGGGGAUUAGCUCUGUAUUAUUAAUAUUUUUUAAGAUCAAAAAUUUUUAUUACUAUCUAUUUGGAAAUGGCAGUACAAAUAUAAAUCAAAUGUACACAAGAAUACCUGGAUUAUCAAUAUAAGGAAUCUUCCAUUUUCCCUUGUAAUUCGGGUUCUUGAUUCUCUGCCAGUAUCAUAAAAAUUUACACCAAUGAAAAAACUAAAAUAAGCAAAAAGGUUUAAGGUUUAAUUAAUAAAAUACCUUGGGCCUCCAUGGUCCUUUAUAUGCUGGAUUUGGUACCAUUGGUGGUUUCCAUAUACCAUUUUCUUCAUCAUCCCAAUCAUCAGGCUAAUCAGGGUAAAGAAAAUGAAGUGUAUUAGCUUUUCUUAUUUUAUUGUGUUUUGCAUAUUCAUCAGAGCAAAAACGAAAGUAAGCAAAGCAGCUUCUGGAGGACACAACUGGCUCAUAAAUCAGCUAAAUGUUUGCAUGAACAUCAAAGAGCCAGGCAGCAUUCAGACAAUUGGCUUUCAUCAAAAAGUAAAAACUACAAGUAAAUCAACCAACCUCUUUAGCACUUGGAUCAGGAAUUUCUUUUGGAAUUUUAUCAUAUCCCUGCAAUAUUAAAAUGUGAGUGCGUGCUUUAUUACGCACUAUAGCUACAUAUGAAAUGGAUCAUUAACAAGAAGAAUAUACAUGGUUUGAUACCUCAGGUUUGACAGCAUUAGGAUCAUCAAUGUACUCCCUAUCAUCCCAGUCCUUAGGCUUUUUGGCCUUGACUUCUCUAAUUUUUCGUGGAGGAAGAAUAUCCCAAUCCACAUACAUGCUUCCAGAAUCCCUUUCUCGGCCAUCAAUCAGGAUGCUAUAACUUGCAUCAGGCCUUAGAACAAAUGUGUAGAAAUGAGUCAAUUUGUCCGUUUCACAUUCCAAUUCCUUCUUUAAGGGAUAAUUUUGGCCUUGGUACGAGAGUAUGACAUGCAACUUCUUUGUUUGUGUGCCACAUAAAUCUGGUCCGAACAUUAAACUGUAUGGGGUGUCUCCCCCGAAUUUCUUCUGAUUUACAAACCCAGAGAGAAGCUUUAUGUAACCACCACCACACUCAAUAUCUUGCUCAAACCUUAUUGAAUAUUGGAGGACCAGUGUUCUGUUCUUGUUACUGAACUCUGGAAUCUUAGCAGAUAUUGCAUAGUGUUUGGCAUCACCAGUCGUCUGAAUACCUUUAUCAUCUGGAUCUCCAGACCAUUUCCCAGCUGUGUGUUUGAAGGAGCCAGCCUUGCCUUCACUUCUUUUCCAAUCGGAUUUAACCCAACGGCUUUGCCACCCAUCAUCAAAUUUUUCUUCAAAAAUGAUUUCAGCAACCGAAAACUGAAUAAAAAGAAACAAAAAUAAAAAAGGCUCAAGUGUAGUAAGAAGCCUAGCUGAAGCAAGUUGUGCCAUUUCAAGAAAUGGCAGUUCUCUAAAUUGCGAGAUUGAAGCUAAAGCUACUGACUG